rnacentral:rRNA from 1 species
GAUGAACGCUGGCGGCGUGCCUAACACAUGCAAGUCGAGCGAACAGACGAGGAGCUUGCUCCUCUGACGUUAGCGGCGGACGGGUGAGUAACACGUGGAUAACCUACCUAUAAGACUGGGAUAACUUCGGGAAACCGGAUCUAAUACCGGAUAAUAUAUUGAACCGCAUGGUUCAAUAGUGAAAGACGGUUCUGCUGUCACUUAUAGAUGGAUCCGCGCCGCAUUAGCUAGUUGGUAAGGUAACGGCUUACCAAGGCAACGAUGCGUAGCCGACCUGAGAGGGUGAUCAGCCACACUGGAACUGAGACACGGUCCAGACUCCUACGGGAGGCAGCAGUAGGGAAUCUUCCGCAAUGGGCGAAAGCCUGACGGAGCAACGCCGCGUGAGUGAUGAAGGUCUUCGGAUCGUAAAACUCUGUUAGUAGGGAAGAACAAAUGUGUAAGUAACUAUGCACGUCUUGACGGUACCUAAUCAGAAAGCCACGGCUAACUACGUG